UAAUUCCAUUUAAUUCCAUGAAAAUAAGUUAUUAUGCAACAUAAAAAAUAGUUGUAAGUAGUGUUUUAGUGCUGAUUUAAAAUGCCGAAGCAGAAGACUUACAAAAUUCAAAUCAAUCGUAAUCCGUCGAGCGGAAAAUCGCCGGCUAAAGAACAUCCUCAGCAACAUCGCAUCAGUAUCCGGUACAAAUGCGCCAAUCCGCUGUUCGAGCGUUGGUUGCAGGAAAUGUUGGCCAAGGCGGAGAGCCGAGAAUCGAUGAGUCGACUACCGCUUCAGAAAGCGCUAGCCUCGCUCCGCCGCUAUCCACUUCCGAUUGCUUCCGGACGGGAUUGUUUCAUGCUGGCCGACUUCGGCAAGACCAUCUGUGAAACGUUGGAAAAACGGUUGCGAGCCUACCGGGAGAAUGGUGGCUCAGUACGGUUGGAUUGGGACGAGGACAUUGAGCGGGCUUUGAACGAGGAAGGGUGUGAGGUUAGGCGCAAGCUGGUUCCGGAAACGGAAGUUGUGGAAGAAUUUAUCGUACCGGAAAAUAAUAACGCCGAUUUCGAAAUGCCUGAUGAUUCCGUCUUCGAUCAGUUAGAUUCGGCCACAUUGAUGGAAAAUACCAGCAGAUGUUUUACCAUAGCCAACCCCAAAGUUAUCUUGUUGGUGGACACACAGGAAGCAAUAGGAAAAUCCAAAUCCAGUCUAGAUCGAACGCUCAAGGAGCUAGAUCAGUACCGGAUAGCCUACGAAGUGCGAAGGCUCAGCGUUGGCGAUUUCCUGUGGAUUGUGCGGGACGACAAUGGGCGGGAAUUUAUCUUACCCUAUGUAGUCGAACGAAAACGGAUGGACGAUUUGGCUAGUAGUAUUAAAGACGGAAGGUUUCACGAGCAGAAGUUUCGUCUUAAGCAAUGCGGCCUUGCCAAUGUAAUUUAUUUGAUAGAGCAUCUGGGGAAUAACAGGCAGGUUGGCGUUCCGGCUAGCACUCUGAGCCAGGCCGUUCUGAACACGCUGGUUCAGGAUUUUGCCAUAAAAUACACCGAAAAUCAUCACCAUACGGUUCUUUAUUUGUCGACCAUGAGCAAAUUGUUGAACAAAAAUAUUAAGGACAAAUCCUUUUGGAACAUCACAGACUUACCGAUGGACUCCAUCAAUGCCACCGCCAAAGAUUUCAAUUUAAAGCAGAAAACAAUGCCACUGUUAGCCUUUGAAACAUUCAAUCGACAGUCAUCUAAAACGCGGGACUGUUCGGUAAAAGAAAUUUUCAUGAAGCAAUUGCUUCAGAUCAAACUACUGUCCAUCGACAAAGUGAAUGCUAUUGUUGAGCGCUACCCAACACCCCGACGCCUUUAUGUUGCCUAUGAGAAGCUCACAAGUGAGGAAGAAAGGGAAAAAUUGCUCAAUAUACCCUGUGGACCUGCCAGGAAGACUGUCGGUUUGAAACUAAGCAAGAUCAUCUACCAGUUGUUCAGAAACGAUAUUUAUCAACGCUGAGAAGACUAUGGAACGAACAGCAUCCAACGUGUAUAUAGCAGCAGGACCAGGAGAAUUCUGACAAGAAAACUGGCCUGUGACGAUACCGUAAAAGCGCUUGAAGGAAGCCAUUUUCCGAAAUCGGGUUUCCCAAUGAUGCACAUUAGUUUUCAAUCUGAGGCCGCUUCGUUCGUUUCUCGGCCAUUCGGCUGCUUCUUUAAUUUUGCCUGAGAGGCCGAUGAGACGGACGGAGUUUUUCGAGAACUGCAACAUGAUGAGCCAGAAACGAUUCGAGUCACCACCACCGGAGGACUUUCUUCUUUUUAUUUGAAUUGAAAAUCCCCAAAAACGAAUGAUUCGCGUUUCGCUGAUUGCUGUCCAUUGUGAUUCUGUCUGUGUGUAAUAUUCAGCAGAGCACAAAGUUUUACGGGGGUCACGCGUCAGCACGCUUCUUAUCCGAGAUUGACCGACUCUUCCUUUCCGGCUCCUAGAGGGUCAUUUUUCGAAGCGAAGUUGUCUCACUGCAAUCCGUCGAGUGAGAAAAGGAGAGAAGGAAUGAAAAAAUAACACAAUUUUUUACUUUUUUUACGCGCCUUUAUGUAAGUUAUAUUUGCUAGAGGACCGUUAGCAGCAAUAUUCGGAGGCAGUUCUUUUUUGCAAGUGAUACUGUGCCAUGUGAUAAACUUAUCAAUCAGGUUUUAUGAUUAUAUAUGAUU